UUACGUAUAAAUAAGCGUAUUAAAGGC
rnacentral:sRNA from 1 species